rnacentral:rRNA from 1 species
UACGUAGGGCGCAAGCGUUAAUCGGAAUUACUGGGCGUAAAGCGUGCGCAGGCGGUGAUGUAAGACAGAUGUGAAAUCCCCGGGCUCAACCUGGGGACUGCAUUUGUGACUGCAUCGCUGGAGUACGGCAGAGGGGGAUGGAAUUCCGCGUGUAGCAGUGAAAUGCGUAGAUAUGCGGAGGAACACCGAUGGCGAAGGCAAUCCCCUGGGCCUGGACUGACGCUCAUGCACGAAAGCGUGGGGAGCAAACAGG